AGGACGUUAGCUCAGUUGGUUAGAGCAAGAGCCUUUUAAGUUCGAGGUCAUAGGUUCAAAUCCUAUACGUCCUA
rnacentral:tRNA from 2 species